rnacentral:rRNA from 1 species
CCUAAGGCGAGGCCGAAAGGCGUAGUCGAUGGGAAACAGGUUAAUAUUCCUGUACUUGGUGUUACUGCGAAGGGGGGACGGAGAAGGCUAUGUUGGCCGGGCGACGGUUGUCCCGGUUUAAGCGUGUAGGCUGGUUUUCCAGGCAAAUCCGGAAAAUCAAGGCUGAGGCGUGAUGACGAGGCACUACGGUGCUGAAGCAACAAAUGCCCUGCUUCCAGGAAAAGCCUCUAAGCAUCAGGUAACAUUAAAUCGUACCCCAAACCGACACAGGUGGUCAGGUAGAGAAUACCAAGGCGCUUGAGAGAACUCGGGUGAAGGAACUAGGCAAAAUGGUGCCGUAACUUCGGGAGAAGGCACGCUGAUAUGUAGGUGAAGUCCCUCGCGGAUGGAGCUGAAAUCAGUCGAAGAUACCAGCUGGCUGCAACUGUUUAUUAAAAACACAGCACUGUGCAAACACGAAAGUGGACGUAUACGGUGUGACGCCUGCCCGGUGCCGGAAGGUUAAUUGAUGGGGUUAGCGGUAACGCGAAGCUCUUGAUCGAAGCCCCGGUAAACGGCGGCCGUAACUAUAACGGUCCUAAGGUAGCGAAAUUCCUUGUCGGGUAAGUUCCGACCUGCACGAAUGGCGUAAUGAUGGCCAGGCUGUCUCCACCCGAGACUCAGUGAAAUUGAACUCGCUGUGAAGAUGCAGUGUACCCGCGGCAAGACGGAAAGACCCCGUGAACCUUUACUAUAGCUUGACACUGAACAUUGAGCCUUGAUGUGUAGGAUAGGUGGGAGGCUUUGAAGUGUGGACGCCAGUCUGCAUGGAGCCGACCUUGAAAUACCACCCUUUAAUGUUUGAUGUUCUAACGUUGACCCGUAAUCCGGGUUGCGGACAGUGUCUGGUGGGUAGUUUGACUGGGGCGGUCUCCUCCUAAAGAGUAACGGAGGAGCACGAAGGUUGGCUAAUCCUGGUCGGACAUCAGGAGGUUAGUGCAAUGGCAUAAGCCAGCUUGACUGCGAGCGUGACGGCGCGAGCAGGUGCGAAAGCAGGUCAUAGUGAUCCGGUGGUUCUGAAUGGAAGGGCCAUCGCUCAACGGAUAAAAGGUACUCCGGGGAUAACAGGCUGAUACCGCCCAAGAGUUCAUAUCGACGGCGGUGUUUGGCACCUCGAUGUCGGCUCAUCACAUCCUGGGGCUGAAGUAGGUCCCAAGGGUAUGGCUGUUCGCCAUUUAAAGUGGUACGCGAGCUGGGUUUAGAACGUCGUGAGACAGUUCGGUCCCUAUCUGCCGUGGGCGCUGGAGAACUGAGGGGGGCUGCUCCUAGUACGAGAGGACCGGAGUGGACGCAUCACUGGUGUUCGGGUUGUCAUGCCAAUGGCACUGCCCGGUAGCUAAAUGCGGAAGAGAUAAGUGCUGAAAGCAUCUAAGCACGAAACUUGCC